rnacentral:rRNA from 1 species
UCCUACGGGGGGCAGCAGUGGGGAAUUUUGGACAAUGGGGGCAACCCUGAUCCAGCCAUGCCGCGUGAGUGAAGAAGGCCUUCGGGUUGUAAAGCUCUUUCGGCCGGGAAGAAAUCGCACAGGCUAAUACCUUGUGUGGAUGACGGUACCGGAAUAAGAAGCACCGGCUAACUACGUGCCAGCAGCCGCGGUAAUACGUAGGGGGCGAGCGUUAAUCGGAAUUACUGGGCGUAAAGCGUGCGCAGGCGGUUUUUUAAGAUAGGCGUGAAAUCCCCGGGCUUAACCUGGGAACUGCGCUUAUGACUGGAAGACUAGAGUACGGCAGAGGGGGGUGGAAUUCCACGUGUAGCAGUGAAAUGCGUAGAGAUGUGGAGGAACACCGAUGGCGAAGGCAGCCCCCUGGGCCGAUACUGACGCUCAUGCACGAAAGCGUGGGGAGCAAACAGGAUUAGAUACCCCAGUAGUCUU